ensembl:snRNA LOC120102621 U7 small nuclear RNA
AGCUAUCAGAGCUCUUGUAGAAUUUUUCAGAAGGUUUUCUGAGUUUGAUUAGAAAAUCCAA